GAGCUGCCCAGGGCUGUGGGCAGCACCUGCCUGAGGCUGCUGGCCCCCGGGACACAGCAUCUUGGCAAGGGAGUACUUGGCUUGUGACAAGGAGGAUGACGAGGAGCAUGAGGAAUAUGCUCUGUCUUUUUGGAGACUCAAUUGAGUGGAGAAUGAGAAAAUGUUCCUGUUUGUGCCUGGCCCUGUUGGAACCCUGCGUGGCUCCAUCAAGCUCCAGCAUCCUGGGGUACUGAGCUGCCCAGGUGAGUGCUUUUUGAUGAAGGUGCUUGAGAUUUUUCUUCUUUUACUAGAGCAUGGUGUCAGCAGUGCUUUUCAUUUUACUUCGUAUCUUCUUUGCACUAUUUCUGUUUUGACAGACAAACCUACAGCGUUUGGUGACGGCACCGCACAUGAGCUGGCAGAUGGCCCCAUAAAGCUCUUUGGUAACAGCCCGAGACAAAACCUCUUCCUUAGAAGGUAUUUUUUCUGCACUUUGAAAGCAAGAGAACCUGGUCCAAAGACAAGCACAUUUGCAGAGGUGACAAAGCCAUCAGUACGAGCGCAUUCAUUCUGCGUCUGGACUUCGAAGCAUCCGCACAGCGAUGAGGGCCCUAUCUGGAAGAGCUGUGUGUUACUUUUUAAGGGAAUGAGCAAACGUACAACCUCAUUAACAUGAGUUACUGUUGUUAAAUAGCCAGGAGAUAUGAAAAGAAGAAGCAGGUUGGCAGGGCCUUGUGGUUCGCUUGCCAAAUGAGUAUGGAAUUGAAGAGGUUGCCAUGAAAAGGAAACUUCUUGCACAGUGAUUUACAGUGUGAGUGCCUGAGCAUAAACCAGAAAUACUUUAGGGGUUAGGAAAUACUGUGAUUUAAUAUGGAUUUCUGUGAUGAUAAAGUAAAUUCUUCCUUUUUUAAUAACAUCUUCUGUAAAGCUUCUUUUUAAAGAGGUCAGUCCACCAGAUAUACAGCAGAUAUGGGAUAUGGAGAACUCGGCUUUCUAAAAGCCACUGCAGAUGUAGUCCCUAGUCCUGGUAUCUGUGGCUAAUCUCACAAGUAUUCACACAGACUCUGCCCAAGAUAUAAGAUUUACAAUAUAAACCAUAAUACAAAACAGCCUCUUUAUCACCAUCUGCUGCAGUCUGAGGUUUACCCCAAGAAAUAAGAACGGUUACGGUGCUUUGCUCUCAACUGAUUUUGUGGAAAGCAGAAAACCCAGACUCCCCUGGUCUUCAGGUCCAGCGUAUUUCACCGUGAAGCUCCUACUCCUUCGUUAGAGAAUCCCAGAGCACAAGGAGCAAGAAGGAAAUCUCCUGUCAUUUAUGGGACGUAGCUGCAGGGCAAGCACGUUCCCUCUGGCGACGAGGCUCUCCUGUGCGAGGUGUUCAUCCCGACGGUUCUGUUCCAAGGAACUCUUCCUGCAUAUAAAUUAGCUUAACAUGGAACCAGUUUUGGCAAUAACUCUAAUUCAGUAAUCCAUACACCAAAGAAUUAAACAAAUGAAGGGAUUUUAAGUAUUAGAUUUGAUUGAAUAUUAAUGUGAUACUUCUUUAUAAUACAAACUAGCUGCUAAAGAAUUCUCUUUAAAGACCAUCUUUGAGUUCAGCCAAGAUAAAGUGCAGUGUGUGCCAUUUUGUAAUGGGAGAUAACCACUCCUAACAGGGUGUAUUUUGUGUUUGUACA
rnacentral:lncRNA from 1 species